AGCAGCCGCGGUAAUUCCAGCUCCAAUAGCGUAUAUUAAAGUUGUUGCAGUUAAAAAGCUCGUAGUUGAAUUUCGAGAUCAGUACGCUGGUCGUGCCUUCGGUAUGUACUGGUGUCACUGGUUUCUCCCUUCUGAAGAACCGUUAUGUCAUUAAGUUGGUGUGGCGGGGAAUCAGGACUGUUACUUUGAAAAAAUUAGAGUGUUUAAAGCAGGCUCGCGCUUGAAUACAUUAGCAUGGAAUAAUGAAAUAGGACGUUUGACCCUAUUUUGUUGGUUUCUAGGAUCGACGUAAUGAUUAAUAGGGAUAGUUGGGGGCAUUAGUAUUCAAUUGUCAGAGGUGAAAUUCUUGGAUUUAUUGAAGACUAACUACUGCGAAAGCGUUUGCCAAGGAUGUUUUCAUUAAUCAAGAACGAAAGUUAGGGGAUCGAAGACGAUCAGAUACCGUCGUAGUCUUAACCAUAAACUAUGCCGACUAGGGAUCGGAUGAUGUUAAUUUUUUAAUGUACUCA
rnacentral:rRNA from 1 species